rnacentral:rRNA from 1 species
CUCAGGUGUUGUUGGGUAGGGGAGCGUUCUGUAAGCCUGUGAAGGUGGCCUGUGAGGGUUGCUGGAGGUAUCAGAAGUGCGAAUGCUGACAUAAGUAACGAUAAAGCGGGUGAAAAGCCCGCUCGCCGGAAGACCAAGGGUUCCUGUCCAACGUUAAUCGGGGCAGGGUGAGUCGACCCCUAAGGCGAGGCCGAAAGGCGUAGUCGAUGGGAAACGGGUUAAUAUUCCCGUACUUGGUGUUACUGCGAAGGGGGGACGGAGAAGGCUAUGUUGGCCGGGCGACGGUUGUCCCGGUUUAAGCGUGUAGGCUGGUUUUCCAGGCAAAUCCGGAAAAUCAAGGCUGAGGCGUGACGACGAGGCACUACGGUGCUGAAGCAACAAAUGCCCUGCUUCCAGGAAAAGCCUCUAAGCAUCAGGUAACAUCAAAUCGUACCCCAAACCGACACAGGUGGUCAGGUAGAGAAUACCAAGGCGCUUGAGAGAACUCGGGUGAAGGAACUAGGCAAAAUGGUGCCGUAACUUCGGGAGAAGGCACGCUGACACGUAGGUGAAGUGAUUUACUCAUGGAGCUGAAGUCAGUCGAAGAUACCAGCUGGCUGCAACUGUUUAUUAAAAACACAGCACUGUGCAAACACGAAAGUGGACGUAUACGGUGUGACGCCUGCCCGGUGCCGGAAGGUUAAUUGAUGGGGUCAGCGCAAGCGAAGCUCCUGAUCGAAGCCCCGGUAAACGGCGGCCGUAACUAUAACGGUCCUAAGGUAGCGAAAUUCCUUGUCGGGUAAGUUCCGACCUGCACGAAUGGCGUAAUGAUGGCCAGGCUGUCUCCACCCGAGACUCAGUGAAAUUGAACUCGCUGUGAAGAUGCAGUGUACCCGCGGCAAGACGGAAAGACCCCGUGAACCUUUACUAUAGCUUGACACUGAACAUUGAGCCUUGAUGUGUAGGAUAGGUGGGAGGCUUUGAAGUGUGGACGCCAGUCUGCAUGGAGCCGACCUUGAAAUACCACCCUUUAAUGUUUGAUGUUCUAACGUGGACCCGUGAUCCGGGUUGCGGACAGUGUCUGGUGGGUAGUUUGACUGGGGCGGUCUCCUCCUAAAGAGUAACGGAGGAGCACGAAGGUUGGCUAAUCCUGGUCGGACAUCAGGAGGUUAGUGCAAUGGCAUAAGCCAGCUUGACUGCGAGCGUGACGGCGCGAGCAGGUGCGAAAGCAGGUCAUAGUGAUCCGGUGGUUCUGAAUGGAAGGGCCAUCGCUCAACGGAUAAAAGGUACUCCGGGGAUAACAGGCUGAUACCGCCCAAGAGUUCAUAUCGACGGCGGUGUUUGGCACCUCGAUGUCGGCUCAUCACAUCCUGGGGCUGAAGUAGGUCCCAAGGGUAUGGCUGUUCGCCAUUUAAAGUGGUACGCGAGCUGGGUUUAGAACGUCGUGAGACAGUUCGGUCCCUAUCUGCCGUGGGCGCUGGAGAACUGAGGGGGGCUGCUCCUAGUACGAGAGGACCGGAGUGGACGCAUCACUGGUGUUCGGGUUGUCAUGCCAAUGGCACUGCCCGGUAGCUAAAUGCGGAAGAGAUAAGUGCUGAAAGCAUCUAAGCACGAAACUUGCCCCGA